rnacentral:lncRNA from 1 species
CCCACCCCAACCUAAAUGUCGCACUAUCAAAUUGAAAAUAAGCAAACCACCAACAACAAAAUGAUCACAACAAUCACUAACGUUGCAAGGUUAAAGAACUCCCACCACCAAUUUCUUCACCACAUUUAACCCAACUCCAUUUUAUCUACCAGAUAAAUCAACUGAAAACAAAACUUGAAGUGCCUAUAGUACUCUAUGCAAAAAUCAAUCAAGCCGUAGGUUUCUGAAGAGAAGAGCCAAGCAAAAAUUAUACUGAGCACAUGAUCAAAUGUUUUAAAAAGAUAUUCACUAUGGUUUCAAGCCCAGCUACUGUUCUGAGCUUCUAACAUUAAGGAUGUGAUUUGGCAAGGGUUAACAACAUUUUUAAAAUCUAGGAACUUGAUUUCUUUUACAGCUUUACAAAAUCAGAUCUGAAAUUUCCUCUGGCACUGGUUAGGCCGACGACUGUAGUGUGCUGAGACGCACACAGAGCCGCUGCUGUGGCAUCGACUGUAGCACACGAAGACACGGGCGCCAGCGUAAUAGCUGUAGUGACUUCGCCCUGAGGCUCGACGACGUCUUCCAAUAGCGUCUUCUCUUCUUCCACCAACGAUUUUCCGACGAUGUCUUCUACGUGAGAGAGAGAAUGAGAUGAGAGAUAAGAUAGAAAUGAAAUAAUUAGAGUUUCAAAGCGAAAUUUGAUGAGGUAGAAUGGGGUGUGGAUGCAUAGGUAGGUAG